GAUGAACGCUAGCGGCAGGCUUAAUACAUGCAAGUCAAGGGGGUAGCAAUACAACCGGCGCACGGGUGAGUAACGCGUACACAACAUACCAUAUACUGGGGGUAUAGCUUUGGGAAACUGAAGGUAAUCCCCCAUAACAUUGCGAGAGGCAUCUGAUUGCAAUUAAAGUUUCGGCGGUAUAUGAUUGGUGUGCGUUUGAUUAGCUAGUUGGUAGGGUAACGGCCUACCAAGGCGACGAUCAAUAGCUGGCGUGAGAGCGCGACCAGCCACACUGGAACUGAGACACGGUCCAGACUCCUACGGGAGGCAGCAGUAGGGAAUAUUGGACAAUGGAGGAAACUCUGAUCCAGCCAUGCCGCGUGAUAGAUGAAGGCCCUCUGGGUUGUAAAUAUCUUUUAUCUGGGAAGAAACAAUCUUAUUCUUAAGAUCUUGACGGUACCAGAGGAAUAAGCACCGGCUAACUCCGUG
rnacentral:rRNA from 1 species